UACGUAGGGUCCGAGCGUUGUCCGGAAUUAUUGGGCGUAAAGAGCUCGUAGGCGGUUUGUCGCGUCUGCUGUGAAAUCCCGAGGCUCAACCUCGGGUCUGCAGUGGGUACGGGCAGACUGGAGUGCGGUAGGGGAGAAUGGAAUUCCUGGUGUAGCGGUGGAAUGCGCAGAUAUCAGGAGGAACACCGAUGGCGAAGGCAGGUCUCUGGGCCACUACUGACGUGAGAAGCGAAAGCAUGGGGAGCGAACAGG
rnacentral:rRNA from 1 species